rnacentral:rRNA from 1 species
AUUGAACGCUGGCGGCAUGCUUUACACAUGCAAGUCGAACGGUAACAGGUUAAGCUGACGAGUGGCGAACGGGUGAGUAAUGCAUCGGAACGUGCCCGGUCGUGGGGGAUAACGCAGCGAAAGCUGCGCUAAUACCGCAUACGAUCUGAGGAUGAAAGCGGGGGACCGUAAGGCCUCGCGCGAUCGGAGCGGCCGAUGGCAGAUUAGGUAGUUGGUGGGGUAAAGGCCUACCAAGCCGAAGAUCUGUAGCUGGUUUGAGAGGAAGACCAGCCGCACUGGGACUGAGACCCGGCCCAGACUCCUACGGGAGGCAGCAGUGGGGAAUUUUGGACAAUGGGCGCAAGCCUGAUCCAGCAAUGCCGCGUGCAGGAAGAAGGCCUUCGGGUUGUAAACUGCUUUUGUACGGAGCGAAAAGGCUCUCUCUAAUACAGGGGGUUCAUGACGGUACCGUAAGAAUAAGCACCGGCUAACUACGUGCCAGCAGCCGCCGUAA